UACGUAGGUGACAAGCGUUGUCCGGAUUUACUGGGCGUAAAGAGCGCGCAGGCGGUCGUUCAAGUCGAGUGUGAAAGCCCCCGGCUCAACUGGGGAGGGUCACUCGAUACUGAUCGACUCGAAGACAGGAGAGGGAAGCGGAAUUCCCGGUGUAGUGGUGAAAUGCGUAGAUAUCGGGAGGAACACCAGUGGCGAAGGCGGCUUCCUGGCCUGUUCUUGACGCUGAGGCGCGAAAGCUAGGGGAGCAAACGGGG
rnacentral:rRNA from 1 species